UACGUAGGGGCUAGCGUUAUCCGGAAUUACUGGGCGUAAAGGGUGCGUAGGUGGUUUCUUAAGUCAGAGGUGAAAGGCUACGGCUCAACCGUAGUAAGCCUUUGAAACUGGGAAACUUGAGUGCAGGAGAGGAGAGUGGAAUUCCUAGUGUAGCGGUGAAAUGCGUAGAUAUUAGGAGGGACACCAGUUGCGAAGGCGGCUCUCUGGACUGUAACUGACACUGAGGCACGAAAGCGUGGGGAGCAAACAGGAUUAGAUACCCCCGUAGUCCCUGAGCGGG
rnacentral:rRNA from 1 species